GGAUUGAGACAUUUGGACCAACCGUGAGUGAUCAACCAUUGGAGCAAGCUAUGGAGCUUGAAUAGCUCAUUGGAAUUGGUGUAUGUUUGUAAAAGUUGAUUGCUGAAACUGUUGGUGAAGAACAAAGGUUGACUGAAGCAUUGAGGUAAGGAUGCUGCAGGAGCCUCUGGUGGCAAGUGGCCAUAUCUGGAUUAUGCAUGAGAUGUGGCAUUCCUUUUGAGUUUAUGCAUGCCUUUUGUAGUUGACAUGUAUAGGAGUUUAUUUUGAAAGCCCUUGGUCAUUUGUAUGCCUUGAUUCAUUGAAUGAACUUAGCCUAUGCUCAUGCCUUUGGUUACACCUUUUGUUGAUGGGAGCCAAGGGAAUGAUCAUAGUGUUUUGUAAGCUAAGUUCUAUGA